CCUGCCCCUAGAGGUGCUGCAGGUGUGGCUGCUGUGUCAUGUGUGCCUCAGCAGAUGGCAGAGAGGAGGGAAGCUAUGCCAACGUUUAGCUUUCUGGCCUACAAACAUCUGAACAACCAGCAGCCUAACAUU